GAUGAACGCUAGCGGCGUGCUUAACACAUGCAAGUCGAGCGAGAAGUUUUGAAACGAUUCUUCGGAUGAAAUUUAAAAUGGAAAGCGGCGGACGGGUGAGUAACGCGUAGGCAACCUGCCCCAUACAAAGGGAUAGCAUUUGGAAACGAAUAUUAAUACCUUAUGAAACUUAACUAGUGCAUGCUAGGUAGGUCAAAGCUUUAUCGGUAUGGGAUGGGCCUGCGUCUGAUUAGCUAGUUGGUGAGGUAACGGCUCACCAAGGCGACGAUCAGUAGCCGACCUGAGAGGGUGAACGGCCACAUUGGAACUGAGACACGGUCCAAACUCCUACGGGAGGCAGCAGUGGGGAAUAUUGCACAAUGGGGGAAACCCUGAUGCAGCAACGCCGCGUGAACGAUGAAGGCCUUUGGGUCGUAAAGUUCUGUUCUAGGUGAUGAAAACUGACAGUAACCUAGAAGAAAGCCCCGGCUAACUCCGG
rnacentral:rRNA from 1 species